CAGCUGUUGAAGCAUGUUCAUUAUGAGAUAGCUAUAGUCCGUAAUUUCCAUCAAUUGCAAAGUUGUACAGGUAUCCAAGGGAGGAGUUGAUUCCAGCAGUGGUUCCAUUGUGGUUGUUUGCUUUCUCUUUGGUAUUCAGAACUAAUGUAGGCUUUAGUUUAAGACGUUUAGAUGUCAAGUAAAUCUGUGUUUUCUUGAUAAUGAUGUCAGUGCAUGAGAUUGUACUCUAUAUGUUCCUGUUAGUACUGUGUCUUUGAAAAAGAAUCUAAUGUGGAGUUAGCCUUUUAGAUGCAAGUUAGAAUUUGCUAUGGAUGGUAGAUGUUUCUUGAUU